AUUCCAGACGUGUAAUAUGCUGCAUUUUCAUUCCAGGUCAACAGAUACAGGAAUGGAGACACAAAAAAAUAAAUCUGAAAGCAGACAUAAUGACAAGAAGCCAUAUUUGGUUGUUGUGGUGUGAAAGGAACCCUGGGCUAAAAGCCAGGGAAUCUUCCACCACCACUUACUUAGCCAGGUGACCUCAGGGGAAGUGUUUUCUGUCUCUAAGCAAUUGUCCAUUCAUGUGUACAAGAUGGGUAAUACCAGCUCCAAAGCCUAUUUUCCCAGGGCUGUUAGGAGGAAUAAAUAUAAGUUUCCCCCAUGCUGUUCUCAUGGUGACUAGGUUCUCAGGAGAUCCAAUGGUUUAUACAUGUUUGAAGUUCCGCCUUCAUUCGUCUGUCUUCUGCCACCCUGUGAAGAAGGAACUUGUUUCCCCUUUACCUUCCACCAUAAUGAGCUGGGAUUCGAGGCAGGAAUACAAAUCAGGAAAAAACAAUAGAGCAGAAAAGAGAAGUUUGGCAUCUGACUCAAGGUUGCAGCAACGGCAUGAAGUGAGCAUUGGGAGAUAGAAUGAAUAGGGUGAUGGGUCAUGGGUGGAGGCUGAAGAUAAUGAGAGUCUUAAGUGUCUGCUAGGACUUGGUCCCUCAGUGACUGGACUGUGGGUGUGAUUGAUUCAGAUUUACUGGAGUCAACUCUGCACAUAUUAAAUGUUCAUGACUUGUUUCAGCCACUUGGA
rnacentral:lncRNA from 1 species